GCCUCAAUAGCUCAGUGGUAGAGCGUUUGGUGAAUAUCGGAAUGUGCAGUUAUAGUCACUAAUAGGCUAGGGUUCGAAUCCCUAUUGAGGCU
rfam:Lentinula edodes NBRC 111202 DNA, contig: scaffold461.